rnacentral:rRNA from 1 species
GAUGAACGCUAGCUACAGGCUUAACACAUGCAAGUCGCGGGGCAGCAUGGGGGUUGCUUGCAAUCCCCGAUGGCGACCGGCGCACGGGUGAGUAACGCGUAUCCAACCUGCCCUUCACCACGGGAUAACCCGGCGAAAGUCGGACUAAUACCGUCUGUUGUCCAUUGACGGCAUCCGAUUUGGACGAAAGGCUUGGCGGUGAGGGAUGGGGAUGCGUCCGAUUAGCCAGACGGCGGGGUAACGGCCCACCGUGGCUACGAUCGGUAGGGGUUCUGAGAGGAAGGUCCCCCACACUGGAACUGAGACACGGUCCAGACUCCUACGGGAGGCAGCAGUGAGGAAUAUUGGUCAAUGGGCGUAAGCCUGAACCAGCCAAGUAGCGUGCAGGAUGACGGCCCUAUGGGUUGUAAACUGCUUUUAUGCGGGGAUAAAGUGGCCCACGUGUGGGCUUUUGCAGGUACCGCAUGAAUAAGGACCGGCUAAUUCCGUG